AAUGUUUAGGAGAGAUGGCAGUGGAAUUUUUAACUAGAUUGUUUAACACAAUCUUGAAAAAUGAGAGGAUGCCCGAGGAGCGGAGAAGAAGCAUAUUGGUACCAAUUCUGAAGAAUAAGGACGAUGAGCAGAACUGCAGCAACUAUAGAGGUUCAGCAAGGAGACCAUCAACCCAUACACAUACAUGCCUUUCAGAGCAGGGCUGAGAAACUGCCUUGGGAUGCAGUUUGUUUUGGUCUUGAUUAAGCUAGCAACCGUGGACAUCCUGCAAAGGUUCAGUUUCUUUGUGUGUGAAGAGACAGAGGUCCCCUUUGAGAUGGACAUCCAGGGCCUGCUCGCACCAAAACGACCAAUCACACUAAAGCUUCUUCCACGUCCUGACUCUUCAAACUAGGAAGCCAGCAAGAAGAGUAAAGAUGACAAUCAUUUAGAUGUUCUGUCUGUCUGUGUCUCUCGUAUUCACAAACACAUUCCUCUGUGGUAAAUUCUAAUGCAUUUCACUAUUCAGCCGAAUGGAUUUGUAAAAAUGCAACGAUGAAAAGACAUACGAAAUAUGAGUAAAGAAAAGUGGCUACAAUACAAUAAAUUUAAAUGCU